rnacentral:rRNA from 1 species
ACGAUUGACGGAGCGAAGCGACGUCAAAGCGUUCAUUAAAGUCGAGUUGGCUUAGGGAUACGUUCGUUGGGUAGGGGAGCGUUCUGUAAGCCUGUGAAGGUGUGUCGUGAGGCAUGCUGGAGGUAUCAGAAGUGCGAAUGCUGACAUAAGUAACGAUAAAGCGGGUGAAAAGCCCGCUCGCCGGAAGACCAAGGGUUCCUGUCCAACGUUAAUCGGGGCAGGGUGAGUCGACCCCUAAGGCGAGGCCGAAAGGCGUAGUCGAUGGGAAACGGGUUAAUAUUCCCGUACUUGGUGUUACUGCGAAGGGGGGACGGAGAAGGCUAUGUUGGCCGGGCGACGGUUGUCCCGGUUUAAGCGUGUAGGUGUGUGUUCCAGGUAAAUCCGGUUCACUUUAACACUGAGGCGUGACGACGAGGCACUACGGUGCUGAAGCAACAAAUGCCCUGCUUCCAGGAAAAGCCUCUAAGCAUCAGGUAACACGAAAUCGUACCCCAAACCGACACAGGUGGUCAGGUAGAGAAUACCAAGGCGCUUGAGAGAACUCGGGUGAAGGAACUAGGCAAAAUGGUGCCGUAACUUCGGGAGAAGGCACGCUGACACGUAGGUGAAGUGAUUUACUCAUGGAGCUGAAGUCAGUCGAAGAUACCAGCUGGCUGCAACUGUUUAUUAAAAACACAGCACUGUGCAAACACGAAAGUGGACGUAUACGGUGUGACGCCUGCCCGGUGCCGGAAGGUUAAUUGAUGGGGUCAGCGUAAGCGAAGCUCCUGAUCGAAGCCCCGGUAAACGGCGGCCGUAACUAUAACGGUCCUAAGGUAGCGAAAUUCCUUGUCGGGUAAGUUCCGACCUGCACGAAUGGCGUAAUGAUGGCCAGGCUGUCUCCACCCGAGACUCAGUGAAAUUGAACUCGCUGUGAAGAUGCAGUGUACCCGCGGCAAGACGGAAAGACCCCGUGAACCUUUACUAUAGCUUGACACUGAACAUUGAGCCUUGAUGUGUAGGAUAGGUGGGAGGCUUUGAAGUGUGGACGCCAGUCUGCAUGGAGCCGACCUUGAAAUACCACCCUUUAAUGUUUGAUGUUCUAACGUGGACCCGUAAUCCGGGUUGCGGACAGUGUCUGGUGGGUAGUUUGACUGGGGCGGUCUCCUCC